CUCAUAAACCGUGGCUCAGUUCAGAUCGUAGGCUGCAACUCGCCUACGUGAAGGAGGAAUCGCUAGUAAUCGCAGGUCAGCAUACUGCGGUGAAUACGUUCCCGGGCCUUGUACACACCGCCCGUCACACCAUGGAAGUUGGCCACGCCCGAAGCCGUUACUCCAACCCUUGUGGAGGAGGACGUCGAAGGUGGGGCUGAUGACUGGGGUGAAGUCGUAACAAGGUAGCCGUACCGGAAGGUGCGGCUGGAUCACCUCCUAACAGGGAGACAAACAAUGAUUUUGAUGUCUGAGUACUUAAUUCUUAGGCCGAAAUCCUGUCACCUUAGGUCGAUCGGUACCUCAAUUUUGAAGUCAAGAAUGCAUAGAGAUAUGGACUGCUUGAUGGAGAUUUUCAGUUCCUAAACUUUGUCUAGGUCACAUCCCACAAGGGUUGAGUCUUCCUGGGCCAUUAGCUCAGGUGGUUAGAGCGCACCCCUGAUAAGGGUGAGGUCCCUGGUUCAAGUCCAGGAUGGCCCAUUCGGUGUUGGGGGUUUAGCUCAGUUGGUAGAGCGCCUGCUUUGCAAGCAGGAUGUCAGGAGUUCGAGUCUCCUAACCUCCACUGAUCGAACUCAAUCUCCAUCUUCUGAAUGAUGGAAGGUGAACUCGAAUGUGAUGUGAUUUAGAUGUGUCCGCUGGCAUGACCCCAGCUUCCUGUCAUUCCGAAAUGACGUGAAUUAUCACGAUCUUUUGGUUGAUAAGAUGCUGGGC
rnacentral:misc_RNA from 1 species